rnacentral:rRNA from 1 species
UACGAAGGGGGCUAGCGUUGCUCGGAAUCACUGGGCGUAAAGCGCACGUAGGCGGAUUCUUAAGUCAGGGGUGAAAUCCCGGAGCUCAACUCCGGAACUGCCUUUGAUACUGAGGAUCUUGAGUUCGGGAGAGGUGAGUGGAACUGCGAGUGUAGAGGUGAAAUUCGUAGAUAUUCGCAAGAACACCAGUGGCGAAGGCGGCUCACUGGCCCGAUACUGACGCUGAGGUGCGAAAGCGUGGGGAGCAAACAGG